UUCUUUUCUUUUCUUUUCUUUUCUUUUCUUUUCUUUUCUUUUCUUUUCUUUUCUUUUCUUUUCUUUUCUUUUCUUUUCUUUUCUUUUCUUUUCUUUUCUUUUCUUUUCUUUUCUUUUCUUUUCUUUUCUUUUCUUUUCUUUUCUUUUCUUUUCUUUUCUUUUCUUUUCUUUUCUUUUCUUUUCUUUUCUUUUCUUUUCUUUUCUUUUCUUUUCUUUCUUUUUCAUUCUUAUCAUGUAAAUUUGAUUUAUUAUUAAAGCCACAUUCAUAAUUCAUUAAUUAAUUAAUUUAUUCAUUAUAUUUUAUAAUUUUCUAAAGCAAAUUUAUCAAGGGUUUCUUUUGCUUGUCAACUAUCUUAGGAGCUUCCUAUAUUAUAACACUGUACACACCUUCGAAUGGCCACAAAACGAUAUUGUCAUCCUAUGUAUUACCAUUGCUUAUAUCUACGCAGGGAAUAUUAGUUUCGCUUUACUGCUGUUUUUGCAACCACGAGGUUAAAAGAGUAAUAUGGAAACAUCUAAAGUCUUGUAGGGAGUCCAAAUGUUUGUGUCCAUCUUGCCGAAGCCGGCUUAGCAUUGAUCCCUUGAAAAAUUCCAAGAUGGACUCCCCAGAUUACCAUCCAAUAGUGCAUCACGGUUCAAUAGGUUCAGCAACUACUGAAGAACAAAAAGGGUGCGCUCUUAUACCCUUAUUGGCCCGUAGAAUUCAUCAUUCCGACAAAAACAAAAAUUCUAAGCAAAAAUUCGCAAAGUCUAACAAAGACAAACAUUCAAUAAAUAUAAUUAUUAAGCCCACCUACCCAACGAAUAUUAAA